GUUUUAUUUAACGCUAUUUGGUAAUAUGUAAACACUUUACAAAUCAUAGUUGAGUUUUUUCUUACCUCGCUUGCAUGCAUGUGCUAUUUUUAGCUCAGAUGCCGUGUGUGUGUCAGUCAAGCUAGCGAUGCUAAGAUCGAAAACUUCAACACGUUUUCUAAUUAUUGCACCCUUGGUAAGCGGAGCGAGGUAUGUCAUUUUGACUCAUCGUAUCAGUAAACAAAAGUUUAGAGAACCCUAAAUGUUGACAUUGGUUGUAAUAUUUGUUCUUUGGGAAACUAAAUAUUUUCACGUGCUUAUGCAGCGGUGCACAUUAGUCAUCUUUUGUGUGUAUUACCAUGCUUUAUUCAGAGCUUACAUUCUGUAUUUAUGUGUAGACAUGUGUGUUACGGUGAUAUAUGUGAGUUUAUUUGCACUUUGUUAAAUGUGAGUGACCAUUAAGCAGCAACUUUGUUCAUUUUUAGUUUUCACGGUGCUUGAAGGAUGCUCAAGUGUUGCUGGACAAACUUCUGUGGAUGACACCACCGUUUGAGACUCUCCUGUGAAUUUUUUACCAAGGGCAGCUACAGUGAAAACUCGACGCUACAUCUGAGCUAUCCACCUGUCUUCUACGAGCAGCUUCAUGUGCCACGGAAGCAAGAUUCUGCAACAUGCUGCGUGGAUGCUACAGCUGCAGUGAGAAACUUUGGCACACUUGUGUAUAAAGCAACGCAGAAAAACACAAGAUAAUAACAUUUACACCUGCUCAUCUAAUUCAGUAAGGCAAUCCAAAGUAAGUUAUAGGAGUAAUGAGUAUCAGGAUUAAAGCCUAAAUAAUUUCAGUCUUGCAAAGUAAUAGUGUAUCUUAGAUCAGCAACAUCCUAUUAGAUCCAAAGGUCUAAGGCCCAAACGUCUGUUAUCUUUAUUUGUGAGCUUACACUGUGUGUGAUUGCUAAUCUUGGGUGUCCAUUAAGUGUAAAUGUCUGAUGUGAGUGAUGUGACAUAGUGUUAACAAUAAGUUAAAACCAUCUCACAACUCCUUUUAGUCCAGACAUAAAACACUCAAGUUUUAUAAUUAACCUCGCAGUGCAGACGUACAAACAAAAUGUUAACGUCUGUGGAAACAGACAAACUCCUGGAAGCGCAACAGGUCAGGUGCAGCUCUCGUGAGCGACGCUUAACAGAGAAGGGUCAGGAGAUGCAUGAACAGGAAGCAAGGAAAACUGAAAAGGCAUUCAAUAAGGCAUAUGACUCUUGGAAGCAAAAGAGAUUAGAGUCAGACUGAAGAGUUAUUGCUCACUAGAAGACCUUGAUAAAAGCCAAAGAGACAUUAAGGCUGGACAUGCCAUUGUACAGAAGCAUUAUGAGACAAUUCUACGUAACCACACCUCUGCUCCAGACAUUGUCAAGAGAAUGGAUGCAUGUGUCACUCUGACAGCUGAGACUUGUAAACUUGUCAGUAAGCGACUAGAGAGUAUAGAUGAAGCCUUCAAUGAUCAACUCGAAAAGGAAAGAGUCAGGAUGGUUUUAAAUAAAGAAGAGUAUGGAUCUGUUUUUGGCAACACAAAUACAGAAACAGUAAUUUCAGAGUCACCACGAGGCUCAGACAGUGACUCAAACAUCACCUCCAGGUCCUCCACCAAACGUGCAGACGCAGAAGCAGACCUUGCAGCCAAAUUAGAACAGGCAAAGGCUGUGUAACAAAUACAAGCAUAACAAGCCAAGUUAAAUAAAAUGGAAAGUGAAUGGAAACUUAAAGAAUCACAAAUGCUAUCUGAAAUUAGGCAAAGGGAGGCAGAAAUGAAAUCAAAACUUGAAGAUGAGCAACUAAGGUUACGACAAAUGCAAGCAGAAAAUGAGGUUAAGGUAGCAGCAGCGAGAGUAAGAGUAUACAACAUUUUUGAUGGUGUUGAGAAUAACGAAGAGGAAUCUGACUACAAAAUACUACCUAGUUGCCAAAAUGUUAAAAUAGAGACCCCACUAAACCCACAAGCUGCAGAAUUUCAGCGUCAUAAUGCAACAUUGGAAGCCCAAUCAACUCAGGAUGCAGUCAGCUUGGCCCAGGCAAUUGCAAGCUCACUCACCUUAAACCGUCUGCCUGUUCCAGAACCCACAGUCUUCACUGGGGACUCUUUAAAGUUUUUAGAUUGGAAGUUAUCCUUCACGACUCUCAUUGACCAGAAGCCUUUGCCAGUUAGUGAAAAAAUGCUUUACUUAAAAAGUUAUCUUGCAGGUGAAGCACAAAAGGCUGUGAAGGGAUUUUUCUACCAAAACACAGAAGAUGCAUAUAAUGGUGCCUGGACAGUCCUGCAAGACAGGUAUGGAAGUCCAUUCAUUAUCCAAAGGGCAUUUAGAGACAAGCUCACAAAGUGGCCCAAAAUAGCGGCAAAUGACCCCCUUGCACUCAGGGAUUUUGCAGACUUCCUCCAAGGCUGUGCUGAGGCUAUACCCCAUGUUAAGGGUCUGGCCAUCCUAAAUGAUUGUGAGGAAAAUCACAAACUCCUCAGAAAACUGCCAGAGUGGUUGGUCUACAGAUGGAGCCGAAUCAUUGUGGAGGAAUUAGACAAACAGGGAGAUUAUCCAAGCUUUGCACGGUUUACAGAGUUCAUGCAGAGAGAAGCACGGAUAGCUUGUAACCCUAUUGCUUCCCCAUUCUUGAUGAACACUAGAACUACAGAUGAGAGAGUUCCAAAGAGAGCCAAAGCACUCAGAACAAGUGUUCAACUGGGAAAUUCCACCUCUAAGUUACCAGGACCCUCAAACUCGAGGUCAAAACCACCCUGCUUAGUCUGCAAGGAUGAAACACGUGGUGUUGCUAAGUGCCCUACAUUUGCAGCAAGGACUACGGAUGAAAAGAGAAUUUUCAUUCACGAAAAUCACCUUUGCUUUGGGUGUUUAAGGAAGGGACACAACACCAAGGACUGUAAAAGGCGACACACCUGCAACACGUGCGGUCGACGUCACCCGACAUGCUUGCACAGAGAAAACAAUGGGUCUGUGGAACUAAUAAGUAGCAGUUCUGUUGUUGCAAGAGAUAAUUCAAGCAAAGAGAUUCACAAGGUUAUGGCCCAUGCAAUCACACAGCACAGUUCUGCCACCUCAAGUAUUGUCCCUGUCUUUGUGUCAUCAGCAGCAGAACCUCAGAGAGAAAUUCUAACUUACGCCCUGCUCGACACACAGAGUGAUUCAACUUUCAUCUUAGAGGAUCUAGUGGAUGAACUGAAUGUAGACACUCAAGCAGUGCAGUUAAGACUUAGCACAAUGACAGCUGCCGACACAGUCAUCACAAGUAAAAUUGCUUGCGGUCUGCAAAUUCGGGGAUUCAACACAGGAACGUCCAUCCAACUACAGCAAGCCUACACGUGAGACUUCAUUCCUGUUGAUAAGUCUCACAUUCCUACAACAAAGACAGCUCUGCAGUGGCCUUACCUCGAACACUUAGCAAAUCAGCUGCCCCCACUUCAAGACUGUGAGGUAGGGUUGCUUAUUGGUUAUAACUGCCCAUCAGCUCUGGCGCCUUUAGAGGUCAUUACAGGUAAUGAAAAUGAACCUUUAGCACAAAGAACUGUACUAGGCUGGAGCAUUAUAGGUUUAACCAAUCCCCACUUAGACAGGCAAGGGCACCAGAGCCUAGUGCACAGAAUUUCAGUGAAGGAAGUUCCACUGCCAUCUGCAACUGAUGUUUUAAAGGUCUUGGAAUCUGACUUUAGUGAAAGGAGUUAUGAGGACAAAUACGUGUCGCAAGAUGAUGUUCGCUUUGUACAACUCCUCAGCAACAGCAUCCUACAAAGAGAAGAUGGACACUAUGAGAUGCCCCUCCCUUUCAAGGGUAGUAGUCCACCUUCGCUACCAAAUAACAAAAGGCUAGCGUUGGUUCGGUUGCAACACCUGAAGAAGAAGUUACAAGCAAACAAGCAGUAUUAUGAUCAUUACACGUCAUUCAUGGAGGAAACGAUAAGCAAAGGUGAUGCAGAGCUGGCCCCUUCAAUAUCAGAGGGAGAGACUCUGUGGUACAUUCCCCACCAUGGAGUGUACCACCCCAGGAAGCCAGACAAAGUAAGAGUUGUUUUUGGCUGCUCAGCAAAGUUCCGUGGUAUCUCCCUAAAUGACUCACUGCUCACAGGCCCAGAUCUGAUCAACUCCUUAGUAGGAGUUCUUUGUCGCUUUAGGAAAGAAACAGUUGCUGUAGUAUGCGACAUUGAAAGGAUGUUUCACCAAUUCUACGUGGCGCCUGAACAUCGAACAACUACUUGAGACUCCUGUGGUGGGAAGAUGGACAGCUGCAAUCAGAGCCAAAAGAGUACAGAAUGGCAGUCCACCUCUUCGGCGCGGCCUCCUCCCCUGGAUGUGCCAACUUUGGCCUUAAGUACCUGGCACGACAACACAAGGAUAACUUUCCUUCAGCCUCAGCCUUUAUUGAGAAGAACUUCUAUGUAGACGAUGGUCUGGUGAGCGUGCAAUCAAUUGAAGAAGCCAAGAAUCUAAUCAUUGAAGCACAGAAGUUAUGCAAAGGUGCAGGUCUGCGUUUGCACAAGUUCAACUCAAACCAGAGGGAUGUUCUGUCCUGUGUAUUCCCUUCAGAAAGGGCCACAACUACGGAACCUCUCAGCAUUAACCCAGAUAUGACACAGAAUGAACGUGUACUUGGCAUACAGUGGUCUAUAGAAGAUGACACAUUUGGCUUCAAUAUUGAUGUGAAGCAUUAUCCACCAACUCGGCGUACUAUCCUGUCAGUCGUGGCCUCUCUUUUUGACCCACUUGGGUUUUUGGCCCCCUUCAUAUUGGGUGGAAAGUGAAUCCUGCAGGAGCUAUGUCGCAGAGGCAACGGAUGGGAUGACCUACUUCCUCAGAACUUGCUGCCACGGUGGGAGGAGUGGAAAUAUGGUCUUCAGAGGUUAAAGGAAGUCACCAUACCCAGAUGUUAUCAUCCUCAAGACUUUGAUAACAUUUUUAGAGUGGAAUUGCAUCACUUCUCAGAUGCCAGCACUGUGGGAUAUGGUGCAUGCUCCUACCUCAGAUAUAAAACUAACAACAACUAAGUCCAUUGUAACCUUGUGAUGGCUAAAGCAAGAGUUGCACCUACCAAGGUCCACAGUAUCCCAAGGCUGGAGCUCUCUGCUGCAGUCACUUCAGCAAAACUAAGUACUGUGCUUAAGACUGAACUUGAAAUGAAAAUUGACAGAGAAUUUUUCUGGACUGACUCCCAAGUAGUGUUGGCAUACAUCAACAAUGAAGCACGAAGAUUUCAUGUGUUCGUAGCCAACCGUGUUCAAGUGAUAAGAGCCAACACAGACCCAAGUCAGUGGCAUUAUGUCGACACUACACAAAACCCAGCUGAUCACACCUCUAGAGGUCUUCAUGCAAAGGACAUCUCUUCAACUAACUGGCCUUUAGGGCCUAGGGUUUUGUGGGAAGAGGAGGUUCUCCCAGCGCCUAAUCCACCAACUGAGUUGCUUGUUGGCGAUCCAGAAGUUAAAUCAGUCCAAGCCUUUGCAACACAGGUGAGCGAGCAAAGAGAUGUUUUGAGUCGGUUUUCCACUUGGACAAGGCUCAUUAAGGUGGUUGCCAGAAUCAAGAGACUAGGGUGCAAGCUGGAACACCAAAGCGAACUUGUGACUGUUGAAGAACGUAAGGAGGCUGCCAAGGUGGUGAUUAAGCUUGUUCAGCUGGACACUUUCUCCCAAGAGCUAAGGCUACUGCGUAAGGGAAAUAGUCUUCCGAGAUCAAGUCCUCUUUUUCUCCUUGACCCUAUUCUAGAUGAUGGACUUAUUCGUGUUGGAGGCAGACUGAAAGUAUCAUCCCUUGAUCUAGAGCUUAAACACCCUGUCGUUCUCCCAAAAGACAGCCAUGUCACAAGGCUGAUCCUAUCUCAUUACCACAACCAGAUUUGUCACCAGGGCCGUAAUCAAACCUUGAUGGAAAUCAGAGCAAAUGGAUUUUGGGUCAUUGGUGGGAGCAAAUCAAUUGCCAAAUACAUACACAAAUGUGUACAGUGCCGAAAGCUUCGACAUUCAACCGAGGAGCAACGUAUGUCAGAACUUCCCAAAGAACGUGUAGAAGUCUUAGCACCCUUCACAUACUGUGGUAUGGAUUGCUUUGACCCAUUUAUCAUCAAGCAGGGCCGUAAAGAGUGCAAGAGGUAUGGUCUCAUCCUCACUUGCUUGUCUUCCCGAGCAGUCCAUAUAGAAAUGCUUGAAGACAUGACCACAGAUGCUCUCAUUAACGCUUCAUCAGUCUCAGAGGAGCGGUUUCUCAAUUACACUGUGACCAGGGCACAAACUUUGUGGGAGCCAAAAACGAGUUCAAAGAAGCACUCAAACAAUGUGACUUCAAGACCCUAGAGGCAUUCCUAGCAGAUAAGCAGUGGGAGUUUGUAUUUAAUGCACCUUCAGCUAGCCAUGCAGGUGGAAUCUGGGAACGACAAAUUCGAACCAGACGCAGUGUGUUAAACCUCACAGCUGCUCAAUGUUCAGGCAGACUGGAUGACGCUUCCUUCAGAACGCUGUUCUAUGAGGCUAUGGCCAUUGUUAAUAGUCACCCACUGGUUGUUAAUGGAAUCGAUGACCCCAGCUCUCCAGAGCCGCUGACGCCAAACCACCUCAUUUUGAUGAAAUCCAAGGUUGCUUUACCACCUCCUGGAAAAUUUGUAAAAGAGGAUAUGUAUGCUGCAAAGAGAUGGCGCAGAGUACAAUAUUUGACUGAACAGUUCUGGAGUAGGUGGAAGAAAGAAUAUCUUCUGAAUGUGUCCACAAGGCAAAAAUGGCAUGUAACCUAAAGUUGUGGGCGUGGCUCAAUUGAAGCAGACUCACCCCAGACCAUGUGUGCCGAGCACGGAGAUUUACGGCAGACUCACUGCCUUCAGGUUUCUUCAAGUUGAAUGUAAGUUUGUAUGUUACUGCAACGUUUAUUAUGAUGUUGUUUUAUUUAACGCUAUUUGGUAAUAUGUAAACACUUUACAAAUCAUAGUUGAGUUUUUUCUUACCUCGCUUGCAUGCAUGUGCUAUUUUUAGCUCAGAUGCCGUGUGUGUGUCAGUCAAGCUAGCGAUGCUAAGAUCGAAGACUUCAACACGUUUUCUAAUUAUUGCACCCUUGGUAAGCGGAGCGAGGUAUGUCAUUUUGACUCAUCGUAUCAGUAAACAAAAGUUUAGAGAACCCUAAAUGUUGACAUUGGUUGUAAUAUUUGUUCUUUGGGAAACUAAAUAUUUUCACGUGCUUAUGCAGCGGUGCACAUUAGUCAUCUUUUGUGUGUAUUACCAUGCUUUAUUCAGAGCUUACAUUCUGUAUUUAUGUGUAGACAUGUGUGUUACGGUGAUAUAUGUGAGUUUAUUUGCACUUUGUUAAAUGUGAGUGACCAUUAAGCAGCAACUUUGUUCAUUUUUAGUUUUCACGGUGCUUGAAGGAUGCUCAAGUGUUGCUGGACAAACUUCUGUGGAUGACACCAGCAAAUAAACUCACCGCACCCGUUUGAGACUCUCCUGUGAAUUUUUUACCAAGGGCAGCUACACUGUCACUCCCGGCCUCUCAUUACGCACACCUGCCUGUCAUUAGUAAUCAGUCACCAGCAUAGAAGCUCCAGUUCUCACCCAAGCCUGUCACCAGAUUGUUAUGCGUGUACUCACCACUUUCCAGCAUUACGCUCUGCCGUGACUAGCUGGUGACAAUCUUGCUUGUUUUUGGACCUGAGCCUGCCUGCCUUAUCUAUACUGUUGCUGAGCCUCCCCGUGUUUGACCCUGCUGAAUUGACCAUGCCUGAGUAAGAAUAAAACCUGUUUUAUUCUACCUGAAUCCUGUCUGGAGCUGUGCAUGUGGGUCCGCCACCUUGAACGCCGCUGAUAAUUUGACUGAUGUAUCGCAACUGUAUCCUUUAAAUUGAAAUCAAAUCAGGACACAGUAACACUGCAGAAGUCUUCUCUUGGGCAGGUGCCGCUGGAAAUACAUUCUGACUAGGUUUGUAUAUUGGCCAUUCUGGCUUCUAAUAUUAUGCUUUUCUAAGUUUGCUUAGAAUGCAAGAAAGCAUGCAGGCUGACAAACACUACAUUAUAUGUACUGUACAUUCUAAAUACAAAAAUAUAUAGAAUGAGAAUGUGAACUUCAUUGGGUACGUUUGUGAAGUCCAAUUCAACCCAGUAUACCCAAUGACUGAUAAACCUCCAGAAGGUAGUUUGGCAGCUGUGGCAGCAUGAACUGCUGGUCUUAUGCUUGUCUAUGAUAAAUAAAGAAAGUACAAUAUUCAACUUUGACAUGAAUUCAAAUUUUACCAUGUUGCAAUUUCUCAACUUUUCAGUUGAGGUUAUAAGGGCCUGUUGUCUGUCUGCCAAACAGUGUGUGAUAUGACACAAUUAGUUCAGAACUGUUCCUAUACUUAGUACUUGACCCUGAUUAUACAGGUCGGACAAUACGUUUUUUAAUAAAGCUCCACCUUUUGGUUUUACCCUGGAAUUGCAUCAUUUGUGCUAAAAAUGGGGGUGGCCACAUUAGCAUGUUUAACACCUACUGCAGACAGCACAAGAGGGGGAGCUGCUGAUAGCCGGCUGGAAAGGCACUGAUAUGAGGAGGGUCAGCGCCUGUAAGUCGACUGGAAGUGGUGCACUAGAUGUAGCAAGAAUUUGUUUUGACUGUGGAUGUUAUUGUAAGUGAAUGAGUGGCUGAGAUGACUUAUUCAGCCCGUUUACGUUUCAAAACUUUGAUUUCCGAUCCAUCCACCUUCACCGGCUUUCUUGUUUCUCUUGCUAUGGGCGGUAAACAGAUUUCAAUGAAAGCACCGCGUUAUAAACCAAUAAACCAAGCAAAAAUAUUUUUUAACAAAAACACACUGAAUUGGAUUUAAAACAGUUUUUUUAACGAAAAACAAAAAAGUCGUUCUCGCGUUACCUCUGCUUUAAAUUUUUAAUCGAAGCUCAUGGGGCACGAGGCAGCAGUCUUAGCAGAGAGCUCCAGACUGUCGCUCGAAUGAAACACAAGAUUGAAUGAUAUGUGAUGUGUUUCGUUCUCUUGACGAUGACUUGGAUCUGAGUCCGACCAAGCUUUUGUUUGUCUCAUAUUUGCUCACAGUCACAAAGGCAAACUUCACAUCCCUCCCCUCCCCCGUAGAGGCGCAUAGACAUGCUAAUGUGUUGCUACUACUCGAUCAGCGGGUGAGAAAUACUUCAGCUCCGGGACAAAGCUUCAUGUGAGACUGGGCAGAAUUGGACGGCAUGAUCAGCUGCAGGUCUAAGACUCAUUAAUGCAGCAAGUAGUUUGUUCUACAUACGUUUACUCUGCAAGAAUAAAGGUAUGUAUUUAUCGUAGAUUUCUGGUCUAAGUUAUUUGUAGCACUUUGACAUUUGUUUAAAAUAUGCAGUGCAUUUUAAAUUGAAAUUACUAUUAUUAUUAUUUGUUACCUUUAUUGAAAACACAGUAUUAAUUGCACAAUUUGGACUGGCGAAGAUUUGCGCUUCUUUCAUAAUAAUCAUGGAUAAUCAAGGAAUAAACUGCAGUUUAUAGAUGUUAUUCACGGACGGUUUGAUAAAGAUUCAGUGUGGGAAAACAUCAACUCUAUUCAGUCGCUCUUCAGGCAUCGACAAGCCUGGACAAUGUUUUAUUGCCUGUAAACGAUCUGAACAGUUUUUAUGGUUUUACAAGGCGUAAUAUGACACUUACGUUUGAUCGUUGCUAGUAUUCCAUAAAAAAAAGAGCGAGGACUGAAUAGGUAUGCUUUCAAUUGCUACGAUCUAAUGUCAAUAAAAUAUAAAAUGUUAAACCUCUGAGCCCUGACUUUUAUGUCUUCUUUGUUCUCAAAUAAUAUAAUAUUGCUGCCCUCCGCGGCUCCCAGUGUUUUUUUAUUUCAUUGAAAACGUGGAUGUUACGGGUGGACCCCUGGUCUAAAUGAUCCUCAAUUUUUUAAAUUGUAGUAGUGUAAGCUUAGUUAGUAUUGCUUUUUGUUUUUUUGUUUUUAUUUAAUGUUUGUGAAACGUGGCAUUUAAGCUACUGUGAUUUUACUUAUAAUUAACAUUAGUUCCCACCUGCCCUUGUUGCCCACGAAGAACCCCGCGCCUCUCUUUGAAUGACAACUGGAACAGUCGCCCCUUCGGUGGGGAGGCGCUCGUUGUAGGUUGAUGGCACAAUCAUGGGUUCGUUGCGGGGGCAGCUGUGUGGCUUUCUUUUUGCUAAAAACCUCCCUCAGGUCCAGGUAGCAAUCAAGCACCCCAGCCACAUUCACCGAAUUCUCCCCGCUCUGUCCAGCAGAGGCCGCCAAAUCCGCGGCUGCGGUCCUGUCAAGACAGUCAGCCUCACACUCCUUUCCCCAACGCUCAAUCUCUCAAUCUCCCCGCUUCUCCAGUUCUUCACGGAUGGUGACAGUCAUGCGCUAUCGGGAACGUGAUAUCUUCUGUGUGCAUGUCGAGAAACCUCAUCCUUACCGGUUCCGUGGGAUGAGUAAUUCUCCACAGCGGCCGCCCAUCAAGUGCUGCAGUCUCCCGUGGUUCUGCCAACGUCAGCUUUCAACUGACAGGCUAGCGUCUGCCUCAGUCGAUCAGCACCGCCUGCUGAAUGGACCGGUCUCCGUGCUGGAGCGUCACCGUCGGCAGCGAACAGGCGCAGUCAUUACACACACACACACACACACACUUAGCUCACCAUUAGCCUCUGGUCUAACGGUGAGCCUGGCCUUUAGCGAACAUUUGGAAGUGAAAUGAUCUGAGUGACCGCAAUAGAGGCACAGCCCGAGGCUGCGACGUCGGUGUUUCUCGGCCGAGGUGAGGUGCGUGCGUCCCAGCUGCAUCGGCUCUUAGUCUGACAGGUGUGCUCCAGGCCACGUGGCGACGAUCACAGCAACCUCUGGUCUCCGCGCAGCUCGCUCCUACCGGCUGAACUCACCCUGACCGCCUGUCCGAGUUCGGAGCUCCUCUGUCUCCGCGCGCUGUUCCUGCUCACAACCAGCGGUCGAUCCGGAUGGCCAAUUCAAUCAGCGCAUCCAGUUCUCGUGUCAGGCCCGAGCCACCGAACAGUCCAUCACCCGGCAAAGCCACGGAUAAACACGUCCCCUAACGCGGUGGCGUCCCAGCCCAUUUCAGGCAAAACCUGACUAGAACAACAAAAUUCAGAAGAAGCAACUUUUCUUUGGAGAUCUGAUCAGCUAUACAUUCAACUCAUCAGGUAGUUUUAGUAAUGUUUCAACUGCUUCAGCUUUUUCUUCAUACACCCCUCACAUCCUGUGGCUCAAUGGUAUAAGUCCUUGACUCGGGAGUAGGAGAUCUAGUUUUGAUUCCCAUUGGAGGCAUGUUUAUGCAUUCAAUUCUUAAUAUAAUUACUUUAAUUUCUGUCAGAUGAAUUGGGUUAUAUUUAAUAUAUGAGCAACUAUCAGCUGUAUUGUAAAAGGGUCAUCUGUGACUAGUCAGUCACACUGUUUUACAUUUCAGCAAUUAACCACACACUUUUCAAAAUAAAAGCACCAAUACAAAUAUUUUCACUAAAUAGCACAUUUUCUGCUUUUGACUGGUUAAUUAUUAUUAGUUAAUGAGACUAUAUUACUGUUUAGCAAUUACCUGCACGUGCGUGCUUCCUCCAAUGCUCCAAAUUUUCCAAAUUUAAAGCUGCAGCUGUACAAGCUGCAAGGUUUAUACAAUACAAGGGUUAUAGAGCAGUCAAAUUGUUAACAUGACCAGAACAAAUUGUUGAUUCAGUAGACACAGCAUACUACUACUACUAAUAAUAUAUGAUAUGGUACGUAAAUAUACUGGAGACUUUCCCUCCUCAUGGACAUUUUAAUGUCCAUUAACCUUGAAAGCGAGAGGCCAAGAAAGCUCCUCUUUAACUCAUCAUACUGCAUUAUAUGAACAUUAAAAUGACAAGUUAAAGAUUCUAAGAAAUAGAACACUUAAGCUCUUCUUUUAGCUCCAAAAGAUGAUCCUCACACGCUGCCUGUAAACAAGUAGAUUCAGUAACAAACCUCACAGUUUUCAUUCCACAUAAGUGUCCAUCAGUCAGUCAUGUCACUGUCAUGAGCUCAGGGUUUUUAUUGUGCACUUGAGCUAAGAGAGAAACCUCUUGCUCUAUGAGAACUAUAAUUUAGAACGGCUAGCCUGUGACCUUGUUCUGCUUAAUGAGUUAGCAGUGUCACUCAGGGCCCAUCAGUGAUCCGGAGUUUGAUCUUCUUUGUCCUCUUCUUUCCUGCAAUGGAACAACACAGCACUCCUGCGUAUAUUAAUCAUCUGUUUCACAUAGAAACUUGGUUAAUGCAUUAACCACUAUUCUGUCAAGCAAAACUUCAUGCAAUGUUAGUUUAUGCGUUCUGCAUAUAUUUUACAAGCAUAAGCUACACACUGAAAUGCAAGGUUCACAGUAUUUUUUCAUCCCUCUAUUGUCAACAUUUAGGUAAAGAAAGCAAAGCUAAAGAUUAAGACUAAAAACCUGAAGAGUUUCUGGGACAUUAGGAACCAAACAGCUCCUUGCAAUGUGUUGUUCCUUGAAUUCACGUCAUGGUUACGGCCAAUAAUGUGUACGGCCAAUAAUAUAAUAUGUAUAAUUUAUCAAUGUGAUAUGUUUAUUAUUUUAUGUUAAUGUUUUUUGUUAUAAAACAAUAGUAAAAAAACAAAACAAAUGGGCCUGUUUUAAUCAGCUCUCUCCUUAUGUCCAAAUAAGGCGUGAAGUCUACAUGUUUACUCAAGAGAAACCAGUCUACGUGGCUAGAAUUGGCAAUGGACCGUGUUAUCCAAGUGUUCCCAGAACACUCUAGAACUCCACCUAACUUCUUUGGCCAUCACCAGGGUCGGCUUGACACUAGCUGCAGAUGAUCUUCCAAGAACCUUUAAAAAACCUCAAAAACAAACUCUUUAACCCCAGUUACUAAGGACACACAUGAACCCAUCCACCCUCUGCAUUUCCCCCAUAAGCAAUGAUCAAAUUUACCACAAACUUUCCCCCUGAAGUUGAAGACAAUUAAGAUGGCUAACAGCUAAAAUAACACUAGACUAGAUAUAAACCCCAUUUAUAUCUAUGCCUGAUCCUUGUACUGCUGGUGCAGCAAGAGUACAUCAUCUUGGGACACACUAGAGACUAUAUCACCAAACCCUAAAUAAAAUGACGAGUGAAAUUAAGGACGAUGUCAGUUAAAAGCUGAACAAGAAGGAUUAGAGUUCAGUAACUACUACGACAAUAACUAACUCAAUUACAAACACAGAAUCACUGUGAUGUAGAAAACGUAUUUAAUUCAGGAAGUGCUGUAGAUGCAUAAAUUAAGUAACCCAUGACGAAAUUAACGUAAAGACUAAAUAGGCUGCAUCCUCACAAACUAUCAGAAAUCACAUUUUUUAAAGCCUGCAGACUGAAAGCAUCUAUGUUAACCAUUUAGCAGAAGGAUGGAAAGAAAAAAUACACUAGGACCUGGUUUAUACAUUUGAUAAAUGUCUCUUUAAGGCUCUGUUGGAAUAGCCAGAGGCCUUUGCCUUUUUGGCUUUUGAUAGCGUCCAUCGACAUAGUUCAUGUCUGACAGCAGAGAUUAUAUACCCCACUUUCGAUCAACUCUGUUUUUGACAGCUCUAGGUCAAAAGUCACUUGAUCUUUUCACCGUUGAACUUGCCAUUUUAGAGUGCACUUGAUCUUUAACCCCGAAUGUUAAAGUGCACUUGAACUUUAAUACCGAAAGUCAAAGUGUACCUGUUCUUUGACCCCGAGAGUCAUAGGUCCGCUGAACUUUAAUCCACCGUGUUAAAGGGCGAUGUGAUCAUCGGAACACCGUUAUGUAUGCAGAUAUAUUAUAUAUAUGAGCCACCGGUGCUUUCUGUGUAUCCUUCUGUAGGCUGUGCUCUCUGUAUCACUGGGGUGUCACAUUCCUCUGCGUGUGUAUCUGAGUUCACAGGCCUGCGGUGGCCUGGUAUCCUUCUACAGUCCUCCUUCCCCCGUCUGGAUUUAUGCGUCAAGUCGGCCCUGCGUUGUUUUAGAAAGAACAGGUUUUGAAACAAAUGCAUAUGCAGUAUUAGAGUGCGCUGCUGGUGUACAACAGCAACAUCCGCCACAUGUAUGCAAUGAAGCACACACACACACACACACACACACACACACACACACACACACACACACACACACACACACGCUGUAAUAGGGGGAAAAAAAUCAUUCUCAUUCAACUCAACUCCACUCAACAAACAAACUCUCACCCCUUUAAGGUUCGGUCGCGCAUUAAGCGCCGACAUUUAAUGUUGUGUUUGACCGACCAAUUGUUUAUGGUCUGCGUCUGCCUUUUACCCCCGGUCUCUGGCUAUUUCCUAUAUGAUCCCUCAACAGACUCAAAGUCAUAAACCUGAUUAGGCCUCAAGUGGGCCUGUGUUGUUUUAGAAAGAACAGAUUUUGAAACAAAUGCAUAUGCAGUAUUAGAGUGCACUGCUGGUGUACAACAACAACAUCUGCAACUUGCAAAGCAUAUACCUUUACAUCGAUGAUAGUCCUCUGUGCUGUUGGUCAGAGGAGUCCUCUCGGUCUGCAGUCAUACGGCAUUUUCGGCACGCACGCACGCACGCACGCACGCACGCACGCACACACACACACACACACACACACACACACACGCGCGCACUGUAAUAGAGGGGAAGAGAUCAUUCAACUCAACUCAACAAACAACCUCUCACCCCCUUAAGGUUCUGUCGCACAUUAAGCGCCUGCAUUUAAUGUUGUGUUUGACUGACCAAUUGUUUAUGGUCCGUGUCUGCCUUUCACCCCCAGUCUCUGGCUCUUUCCUAUAUGAUCCCUCAACCCCUAAAGUCAUAAACUAAUGCAUCACGUCUUUGAAACUCGGUGUCCCAUCCCUUCUGAUAGCAUGGCACCCUCGCAUGUAGGAGUGAGAAUGUAAACAUCUUCACCCCCGAUGCAAUAAGGCGAUUCCAUCAGGCGCCAGGAGAACGGUUAAAAAACACAGCGUUAUAAUACCGAUCGAAACAUGAUUAUACAAAAAUACCGCUUUAACCCGUUACACCGCUGGAGUGUUCGGGGGGAGCCCUCUUUGGAAAUAUUCCCCUUAAGAUUCUGUCGCCCAUUAGGCGCCGACAUUUAAUGUUGUAUUUGAUCGUCCGAUUAUUUAUGGUCCGCGUCUGCUUUUUACCCUAUCUGAUCCCACAACCCCUAAAGUCAUAAAGCUAAUGCAUCACGUCUUUGAAACUCGGUGCCCCAUCCCUUCUGACAGCAUGGCACCCCCGCAUGCAGGAGUGAGAAUGUAAACAUCUUCACCCCCGGUGCAACAAGGCAAUUCCACCAGGCGCCGGGAGAACGGUUAAAAAACACAGCGUUAUAAUACCGAUCGAAACAUGAUUAUACAAAAAUACCGCUUUAACCCGUUACACCGCAGGAGUGUUCGGGGGGAGCCCUCCUUUGAAAUAUUAUGUUGUAACACUAUGUUGAUUUGUUAUGCGAAACAAGAGGUGUGAGGGUGUCCCCAGGGGUCAUUCAAGAGUCACACAUUAGGCAGUACAAUAGGCUAAUCUAUAACAUAAUAUGAUGACGAUGAUACGAAUUACCGUUUUAACAUCGCAGGAUUAUCCUGAGGAAUCCUCAGUAUAAAAAGUGGAGAGGUGUUAAGGAGGGAUAGGGCCUUAGCAGGAGGGGGGUCGGGUGUUGUAAAACCAUUUGAUCAGUUUCUGGGUGACUUUUAUGGAGAAACCUGGUAUAAAUAUAGGCGGAGUUGAAGCGUCAGAAUCAACCCGAACCCAGGCCUUCACGCUAGAUCUUCGUCGGACGUUGAAGCAGCGGUAUGAUUCGAGGUAAAGCUCAGGCGACUCUCAUUUCUUUGAUUCUCCUGAAAAUAUGCGCUAACAAAUUUCGUCCGCGUCAGCUCCUGCAUCUCACGGCGCCCGCGGGGCUCGUCUGCCAGAGAGCGCCAGACUCCGUAAGUAUGACCUCUUUUUGCAAAAUCAACCAUUAUUAGACUGUAGAAUGCUUUGAAACAGUUUUCUUUUUACGGCAGAUCGCCUUGCGCUACAACGUCGUCAGAGCCAACAAUUCCAACUGCAGUAUAGGCACCAGGCGGCUCAACAAGCAUUCAACGCCUUCCCAGCCGGAGAGGCCCUUAGAUUCGUCGAUCAGUUAUUACAUAUUAUAAGCCGAUUGACAUUUGAACGUGCUGACCAUAACGGCUGUUUUAUUUUUUCUGAAAAAAGCCGCCACGGACCGAUCACAGUCUCGACGUAUCAGACGACGCACUUCUGGAGGUGUCACCGGACCCCGGAGAGAUAUUUACUGCCAGCGAGUGUGUCGUCAAUGCGCCGCCACCCACCCCGGAGCCGCCGCAGCAGCCGCAAGAGCAACAGCAACAACAACAACAACAAGAACCGCGGAGCCCCGAAGAGGAGUGUCUAAUCGGCGAGCUGGAGCACGUGCUGUCCAGACAGCCGAGCGUGGAGCCUUCAACUUCCGAGAGCGGGGCCCCUGUGCUUCUAGCGGAGCAGAACGUCCCGGAACAGGGGAGGCGAACCCCCGUGCGUCGUCCGGGGACUCCUCUUCCUAGGGAUCGCUCCAGUCGGCCAUCCUUGCCAUCAUCCUCCUCUCAAUCCUCCGAUUCGGGUCGUCCGAGACGGCGAGAGAGAAGGCUGGGCCUGGGACGAGAAGGCGUCCGCAUCUUCAUCGAGGCGGAGCUGCAUGGGUCCGAACAUUUCCAGCGGAUCUCCCAGUGUUUAUAUCCGCGGGAUCGCUACAAUGAAUGAUUUGCUCCGCACGCUGAUGUGAAAACUGUGCUGGAAUGUCACUUUGAUCGGUUGGAUGAAUUGGUCAAUGAUUUGGUGGGUCGGAACUGUGUCUCCGGUCUACUCCCCGAAUCGCGACUAUGACUUUCCUAGCGGGGGUGAUGAGUAUGUUUCUGAUUUUGAUCGAUUUUGAUCGAUUAGAACAGUCUGUAAACCUCUUCAUUGAAAGACUGCAAAAUCCAUGCCAGAGAAAUAAUGAACUCCCGUCAGAGGAGGGCGCACCCGAGUGCGGAGACAAUGACGAUGCUAUGGAAGGAGCUCCCCCGAGCAGAGACGGAAACCCGGAAGCAUCCCCCGACGGACCCCCGACGCACGACGUGGCGCAGAGGAGAAGCGGGGCCUCCGAUGAAACCAGGAUUGUAACCAGAAACAGUUUCAAUAACUUUGAAAUAAGACGACUGCUUAAUAUCGGGCAGACGGACGAGGUUGAUUACGGACACUUUUACGGGACUGUUAUGGGGAAUGUUGCCAAGAUGGUGCAGCAGGCUUUAAAUCAGACUCAGCAAGGCGACGUUAUCCAGCUCGAGCUCAGGGGGGACAUGCUGCGAUCACAAGCGGUCGCUGUUGUGUCAGUCGCGGACGGCGUGGAUUUUUCCCAAUUUCAGGACCUGCUGGACGGCGCUGUUCAGUCCAAUAUGGAAGUGUUGAUGGACGGCAGCUUGGAGCUGGUGAUUCAGGUGGUGCGCAACCCCCGAGGGGGUGGUAAAAGGCUGUUGGCAAAGACCCUAGACUGCGAAAUUGUUUAAAAGAAGCAGAGGUUCAUGUACAUUGUCAACAAUCGGCAUAUUGAGCUCUGUUUUGCCAUCAACCUGGCGCAUCUGCUCUAUCCAGGAAUCACAGACGCCGAGGCUGAAAGGAGGGGGAGCGAACUUCAGCAAAGGGCCGGUUUAAUCGCGCAGACGCCAGUGUGUUUCACGGACGUGGAGAAGUUUGAAGAGCUUGUUCAGUGUCGGAUUGUAAUCUUUUACAGAACAGAUUUGAAGCGCCUCAACACGUUUCACACUGCAAAGCAGCGGCCUGGUAAACCUUUAUACAUGUUUCUUUUCGAGAAUCAUUAUUACGGUCUAAAGAACGCCUGCGCUUUCAUAGGAACGAAAUAUUUGUGCAGUCAUUGCUACACCGGUUAUGAUGGGUUGCUGAAUCAUAAAUGCGAGGGGCGUUGUAACGUGUGUCUUGAUGCUGCGUGCACGGCCACGCGUCCCGCAGCCGGUGGGGGCGUAGUGUGUGAAUACUGCAACCGCUGGUGUGCCUCGGCCUUUUGUCUCGCAAAACACAGGGAGAAGGUGUGGCGCCCCGUGGCUCAGAAGCACGCUAGCAUUUGUGACAUGCACAAGAAAUGUCACCGCUGCGGCCUCUUGUAUUACGUCUCACUGAUUAAAAUACCAAAGCCGCACGAAUGUCCGGACGUUAAAUGCUGCAUCUGUGGCGGGGUCAAAUAUGCAGGGACGACCGAGCCUCACCGGUGCUACAUACAAAGUCUACCGACUCCUGAAACCACCACAGACGUUAUUCCAAAUAAGAAGUUGUUGUUCUAUGACUUUGAGACGUAUCCUGAUGAGAAUGGCACGCAUGUGCCCUUUUACGUCUGCGUCAUGAGGGGCAAUAAUAGCAGCCCGUGGGGUUGUUACGGGCCCGACUGCGCCGUAAAGCUUCUCAGGCGCUACAGGGCUAAAAAGUACAAAGAUUCCGUGUGUUUGGCUCACAAUUCGAAAGGUUUUGACGGGCAUAUUCUUUUGAGCGCCAUGGUGUCGCUGGGGAUUAGCCCUCACGUUGUAAUGCAGGGGUCUAAACUGGUAUUGUUCACAGAGCCUCAUUAUAAUCUCAAAUUUAUAGAUUCCAUGAGCUUUCUAUCUUUCCUUUGGGCCUCCCUGCCAAAAGCUCUGGGCUUUGAGGAUGCUGAAAAGGGUCACUUCCCUCACAAGUUCAGCUCUAAGGAGAAUCUGAAUUAUGUUGGCCCAUACCCAGCUCCUGAAUAUUACGGUUGUCAGCAAAUGACUCCAAAGAAACGCGAGGAUUUCAUGGCGUGGUACACCCUAGUCUCCGGCGGAACGUUUAAUUUUAAAGCAGAGGCAAAGCGCUACUGCCAAAAUGACAGAGAGAUUCUCAUGAAAGCGUGCUUUGCAUUUAGAGAGUGUUUUGUGAACGAGACGGCUCUAGACCCCUUCAAGCGAGCAACCAUCGCCUCCGCGUGUAUGUUUGUUUUCAGAACAUGUUUCCUUAAAGAAACAGCUGCAAGCGCUUCUCAAACGCCUGUGUGCAGUGGUUAGAAUGGGUGAUGUUCAGAGACGGAGUGUUUAUCCAGCACAGUCUAAACGGAGGUGAACGGAGCUUUGGACGCUUGUGGGUGGACGGCUAUUGUGAGUCAGGCGGGGUGAAGGUCGCGUAUGAAUUUCUGGGCUGCUUCUACCACGGCUGCUUGGAGUGUUUCACAGGCAGCCGCGUUCACGCCUUAACAGGGAAAACUUUUGAAAGAAUGCACGUUGAGACGCAGGAGAGAUUGACAGAGCUGAGGUCAGAGUACGGGCUCCGUGUGAUCACCAUGAAGGAGCACAACUGGGAUCUGCUGAAAAAGUCGCACCAGGGUGUGAAAGCAUUCCUAAAAGCAUACAAGGCCCCUGAGCCUCUAGCCCCACGCGAUGCUCUGUAUGCGGGGCGCACAUGCCCCGUAACGCUGAGAUACUCUGCGGGAGAAGAUGAGGUUGUGAGAUACGUUGAUUUUACAUCCCUGUAUCCUUACGUCAACUACACGUGUCCUUAUUCUCUGGGACACCCGGAGAUCAUAUUCAGAGAUUUCCAGCCCCUGGAAUCUUAUUUCGGGCUCAUUAAGGCGACCUUGUAUCCUCCCCGCGGCCUGUUUUUCCCUGUGCUUCCUUACAGAUCCGGCAAAGGGCGCCUAGUGUUUACUCUAUGCAGAAGUUGUGGUGAGCUGAACCGUCAGGACGGCCCCUGUGACCACAGCGACGCGGAGCGCGCUCUGACAGGAGUCUGGCCUUCCCCCGAGAUUCUGAAGGCUCUGGAGAAGGGUUACAGAGUAGCGGAGGUCAUAGAAGUGUGGCAUUUAAAAGAGCAGAGUACCUCUCUCUUUAAAGAAUACAUCUCAACCUUUCUCAAGGGGAAGCAGGAAGCCAGCGGCUAUCCCGCGGAUGCUACGGAUGUGGAGAAAAAAUACAAAAUACGUCGAUGACUAUGCCAAAAAUCAGGGGAUCGUCCUGGAUCGGGUAAAUAUUGUGUUAAACCCGGCUAAAAGACAAGUAGCAAAAUUAUGCCUAAACAGUUUCUGGGGGAAGCUGAGUCAGAGGUGUAAUUUGGUUCAGACGGAGAUAGUGGAAAGGGCCGAAUAUUUUUUCAGGCUGCUGUUUUCAGGAGACAGGGAGGUAAAGUAUUUCACUUUUCUAAACGACAAGGUGGCGUUGAUUCAACAUUGCAGCAGCGAGCGGGUCGUAGCUCAUCCCAAUCGGUCAGACAACGUAUUUGUCGCCGCUUUGACCACCUGUUAAGCCCGGCUGAAAUUGUACAGCUGCCUGAAGCAGCUUGAGAGACGCAUUCUGUAUUAUGACACAGAUAGCGUAAUCUACUGCUCAAAACCCGGCAAAGCUGAGCUCCCGCUGGGUAAUUACCUGGGCGAUUUGACGGAUGAGCUAAAGUCUGACUCUAUUAAAGAAUUUGUCUCUGCAGGACCUAAAAGCGGGUAUCAGACGCGAGGAGGCAGAGUGACGGUUAAAGUCAAGGGCAUCACACAGACGACAGAGUGUUGUAAGAGCAUCAAUUUUGAC